rnacentral:rRNA from 1 species
AGCAUAUCAAUAAGCGGAGGAAAAGAAACUAACAAGGAUUCCCCUAGUAACGGCGAGUGAAGCGGGAAGAGCUCAAAUUUAAAAUCUGGCGGUCUUUGGCUGUCCGAGUUGUAGUCUAGAGAAGUGUUUUCCGCGUUGGACCGUGUACAAGUCUCUUGGAACAGAGCGUCAUAGAGGGUGAGAAUCCCGUCUUUGACACGGACUACCAAUGCUUUGUGAUGCGCUCUCAAAGAGUCGAGUUGUUUGGGAAUGCAGCUCAAAAUGGGUGGUAAAUUCCAUCUAAAGCUAAAUAUUGGCGAGAGACCGAUAGCGAACAAGUACCGUGAGGGAAAGAUGAAAAGCACUUUGGAAAGAGAGUUAAACAGUACGUGAAAUUGCUGAAAGGGAAACGCUUGAAGUCAGUCGCGUUAGCUAGAACUCAGCCUUGCUUUUGCUCGGUGCAUUUUCUAGUUGACGGGCCAGCAUCAGUUUUGACUGCAGGAUAAAGGUCAGAGGAAUGUGGCACCUUCGGGUGUGUUAUAGCCUUUGAUUGUAUACUGUGGUUGGGACUGAGGAUCUCAGCACGCCUUUAUGGCCGGGGUUCGCCCACGUUCGUGCUUAGGAUGCUGGCGUAAUGGCUUUAAACGACCCGUCUUGAAACACGGACCAAGGAGUCUAACAUACCUGCGAGUGUUUGGGUGGUAAACCCGAGCGCGUAAUGAAAGUGAUAGUUGGGAUCUCUGUCGUGGAGAGCACCGACGCCCGGACCAGACCUUCUGUGACGGCUCCGCGGUAGAGCAUGUAUGCUGGGACCCGAAAGAUGGUGAACUAUGCCUGAAUAGGGUGAAGCCAGAGGAAACUCUGGUGGAGGCUCGUAGCGAUUCUGACGUGCAAAUCGAUCGUCAAAUUUGGGUAUAGGGGCGAAAGACUAAUCGAACCAUCUAGUAGCUGG